rnacentral:lncRNA from 10 species
UUUCUCUAAGAGGUCAAUGUAAUAAUCUUUUAUUGAUAUAGGAACUCUGGCACUGAAAGCUUGAAUAACCCAAGGUAAUGAUGUCGUCACCAAGGGAGGACAAGAAUAGAACCCAAAUCCCUUGACUCCCAAGCUUGUGUUUUCCAUUAAUUGUGCUCCUUUCUAUUCAUCCAAGAGCAUCAAGUGUAAAAGGCUGGAGAAAGGAGUGGACACAAAUGAGCCAAGUCCGCAAGGUGGAGACUGCACUGAAGGUCCUAGGAAUCGCCCCUUGGCACUUUCCUUUUGUGUUGGCUGAGGAAGAUGAAAGCAGCAACAACCACAAACUCCUGGGACCAAGAACUGGAACUAGGUACUGCUUGUUGUGGUAACUCUCUUCCUCAUUUUAGGCCUUUCCUUUUUAACCUCUCCUUCCGGCCAAGCCUUCGCGCUCUCUUCCCCUCCCUCGGUUUCUAUCCGCUCCCGUUAGCUCCACUCCGCACAUUCCUGCAAGGUCCUGCGCAGCCAGCCGGCUCCGGGGGCCCCGCGCACUACAAGUCCCAGAAGGCAGCUCUCCGCGGGGCGGGCAGUCGCCUUAUCUGCUUCUGGCUCAUUUUUACCACUGCUCUCCCCUUCCCCGGUCCCCCUGGUGUCCUUUCCACAGUUAAAGGCUACUUUCUCUUGAAGCACAUGA